rnacentral:piRNA from 1 species
UUUUCGUUGAUGAACUCUUUU